AUUGAACGCUGGCGGCAUGCUUUACACAUGCAAGUCGAACGGUAACAGGCCUUCGGGUGCUGACGAGUGGCGAACGGGUGAGUAAUGCAUCGGAACGUACCCAGAGGUGGGGGAUAACGCAGCGAAAGCUGUGCUAAUACCGCAUGUGAUCUGAGGAUGAAAGCGGGGGACCGCGCAGCAAUGUUUGGCCUCGCGCCUUUGGAGCGGCCGAUGUCGGAUUAGCUAGUUGGUGGGGUAAAGGCCUACCAAGGCGACGAUCCGUAGCUGGUCUGAGAGGACGACCAGCCACACUGGGACUGAGACACGGCCCAGACUCCUACGGGAGGCAGCAGUGGGGAAUUUUGGACAAUGGGCGCAAGCCUGAUGCAGCAAUGCCGCGUGCGGGAAGAAGGCCUUCGGGUUGUAAACCGCUUUUGGCAGGAACGAAACGGUGUCCGCUAAUACCGGGCGCUAAUGACGGUACCUGCAGAAUAAGCACCGGCUAACUACGUG
rnacentral:rRNA from 1 species